AAGAAACUGGAACCAAGAUCAAGGAGCUUACUUUGCUGGAAAGCAUCAAGAGCAACCCGUCAGAAGCUGUCCCACUUGAAAAUUCGAACCCGAAAACCAAGAGCAUUGCUGAAGUUAGUCUCAUGUGGGAGAUGUCUCUCUUCAAAAUCUCCAAGAUAGUUUUGGGAAUCUCU